rnacentral:lncRNA from 1 species
UUUCGAUGAUAGAGCCUCCAAAUCGACGAUCAGCAUUGUUGAACAUGAUCUAUACCACUUGAAAUGUUUAGAAAUCAAAUUUCAAAUCUUUUCGACAUCAUUUGCCUAAUGAUCAAAGGGUUUCAAAAUUUGUAAUUUUAAUGGUCGAUAUGAGGCGUUUUCUCGUUUAAUGGCGUGAAGAUAUUCAAAUCAAUUGAAUUUUUGUUAGAAAAUUCGUUAAACUAUUUAAAACAAAAUCUAUCCUCUUGAUCUUGAUUACAAGACUCCUAUCAUUAUUUUUUAAAGAAUAUUCAUUUUCAACCGUUCAUUUUUGUGUCCACUUGAUGGAUAAGAGAAUAAUAUCGAAAAUGUAUCAAAUUUGAUUUCUAAACACUUCAAGUGGUAUAGAUCAUAUUCAACGAUGCCGAUCGUCGAUUUG